rfam:Bombyx mori DNA, contig: Bm_scaf28_contig18104, strain: p50T/Dazao, build 2, whole genome shotgun sequence.
CGAGCUCAAAUUUGUAUGGAGUUGAAACGUUUGCCUCGUUUGCCAUUAAGGGCGCUGUUCCAACUUCAUACAAAUUUGAGUUA